rnacentral:lncRNA from 1 species
AGUAUUUACCAAAGGCUAUCUAGCUAGGGAGUGAUGGAGCCCAGAUCCGAAUCCAGCAGGUGCUGACAGCUGAGCCAUUCCACGCACCUUCGGAGCAAAGAACUGCCGGAAACCAGGGCCAAGUUCAGAGCCUGAAAUUUUUUUCAAAGGCUACAAGGAGAAACCUGGGGGGCCUGAUCACACAUUACAUAAGCCGUAUGUGAGCAGAGGAUGCCACUGAUGCUAGGAACCCAGUGCCUGUCGGAAUUGCGCAAGGACAUACCACAGAGUACAAACCAUGCUUUAGUGACAUUGAUCAGGCCACAGAUGACUGAGUUAUGAGAGGCCAUGAGCUUUCCAACAUCAGUUUCCUAAACCAGCUGCUUCUCAUCAGUCUGGUCCCCACUGGCCAGAGCUAUUGACAUCCUGGAAGAUAAUCCUAUAUUCCUACAAAGGUAGGAGAAGGUUCUGGGGAGAAAUAGUGUAAGUUUUUAUUUUUAAUUUUUGAUUAUUAUGGGUACAUAAUACAUGUAUGUAUUCAUGGCAGGGGUACAUGUGAUGUUCUGAUAUAGGCAUGUGGUGUAUAAUGAUCACAUCAUGCUAAUUGGGGUGUCCAUCACCUCAAGCACUUAUUAUGUCUUUUUGUUAGGAACAUUCCAGUUCUACUCUUUUAGUUUCAUUUUUGUUUGUUUUUGAGAGGCAGGGUCUCGCUCUGUUGCCCAGGCUGGAGGGCAGUGGCAAGAUCACUGCUCACCGCAGCCUUGACUUCCUGGGCUCAAGUGAUUCUCUGGCCUCAGCCUCCCAUGCAGUUCUAUUAAUAGAACUAAGACAAAAAGGGUCAUAGGCUUUCAGAGGCCACAGUGACCACAAGAGGCUGAUGCACCACCAUGCCUGGCUAAUUUUUGAGUCUUUCCAAGAGAAGAGGUCUCCCUAUGGUGCCCAAACUGGUCUCGAACUCCUGGGCUCAAGUGAUCCUCCUACCUCGGCCUUCCGAAGUGCUGGGAUUACAAGCGUGAGCCACAUAUACAGUCUAGCAAUUUUAAAAUAUACAGUAAAUUAUUGCUGACUGUUGUUGCCCUGUUGUGCUGUCAAAUACUAGAUCUUAUUUAACUAUAUUUUUGCACUCAUUAACCAUUCCCAUUUUUCCCCUUGCUCCCUGCUACGCUUCCCAGCCUCUGGUAACCAUCAUUCUACUCUCUAUCUCCAUGAGUUCAGUUGUUAUAAUUUUUGGCUUCCCCAUAUGAGUGAGGACAUUUGAAAUUGGUCUUUCUACGAGGAAUGGCAUGAGUUUGACAUAGAAUGCAAUUUGUUGAAGCACUCAGAGUUAGCAAAUUUCCAACGCAUCCCUGGCCCUGCCUACAGCCUGCAGCUUCCCGUAUGCCUUGUAAAGGGAGACUUCUGCUUCUACCAGCUCUAAGUUCUAAAAGUGUUUUUAAGAGUGGCAAUAUUGUGUGUUUAACCCUUUGAAGAAGACAGUAGCCACCUGAAUACAUCAGUUCUUACAUGUUAAUUAAAAAUCAGUAAUCUUUACUUUGUAUCUAUUAAUAGAACUAAGACAAAAAGGGCCAUAGGCUUUCAGAGGUCACAGUGACCACAAGAGGCUGAUGCAGUCAAGAAAUUCUUCACAGAGGGCAUGGGGCAUGGAUGUAGCUCUGUCACUUUUUCCCAGAACCACCCUCACUCCUGCAAAGACUGUUGGCUCCUUACCCAGUAUUCACUCUCCAUGUCUUCCUUGGUAGAAUAAGCAGCGUGGGAAAGUGCCUGGCUAAAAGGCUACAUUUUCCAUCUUCCUUCACAGUAGGGGUGACUAAUGAAAUCCCAGGAGAUGUUGGGUGGUCAGGGUUGCCAGAUCAAAUAAGGAACACUUAGUUAAAUUAGAAUUUCAGUCAAUAAUGAACAUUUUAUUGUUGUUGUCGUUGUUGUUGAGAUAGAGUCUCAUUGUGUCACCCAGACUGGAGUGCACUGGUGCCAUCUUGGCUCACUGCAAGCUCCGCCUCCUGGGUUCAAGCAAUUCUCCUGCCUUGACCUCCUGAGUAGCAGGGAUUACAGGUGUGCACCACCACACCUGGCUAAUUUUUGUAUUUUUAGUAGAGACAGGGUUUUGCCAUUGUUGGCCAGGCUGGUCUCAAACUCCUGGCCUCAAAUGAUCCACCCACAUUGGCCUCCCAAAGUGCUGGGAUUACAGGCAUGAGCCACCUUGCCUGGCCUACCCCUUUUGUCCUUUUUCCCAUUUUCUUUUCUGGGAUAUGGAUGUGAUGCCUAGGGCUCCAGCCUCCUUCUUGGGUCAUGAGGUUAAGGAUGGCAGAUACAAAAGACAGAGGACUGCAUACCUUCAGACUUUCUUAUGUGUGAUAGUAACCAUUGAUUUUCUUUAGCUGCUUGAGGUAUCUCUGUGAUUUGCAUCCAAUUGCUCUUCCUAACUGGUAUAGCCAUAAUAAAGGGUGCAUUGUGGUGGCAGCAGCUGAAAUUGAUGAAGAACCAGUCAGUAAAGCACAACAGAGUUGGAGUGAAAAGAAGGCACAGAAGGCUAUGUCCAAACUGGGUCUUUGACAGGUUAUAGGGGUUACUAGAGUCACUAUCUGGAAAUCUAAGAAUAUCCUCUUUGUCAUCGCGAAACCAGAUGUCUACAAGAGCCCUGCUUCGGAUACCUAUAUCGUUUUGGCAGAAGCCAAGAUUGAAGAUUUAUCUCAGCAAGCACAAGUAGCAACUGCUGCGAAAUUCAAAGUUCAGGGUGAAGCUGUCUUAAAUGUUCAAGAAAACACACAGACUCCAACUGUACAAAAGGAGAGUGAAGAGGAUGAGGUUGAUGAAACAGGUGUAGAAGUUAAGGACAUAGAAUUGGUCAUGUCACAAGGGAAUGUGUCCAGAGCAAAGGCAGUUGGAGCCUGGAAGAACAAAGUAAUAAUAUUGUAAAUGCUAUUAUGGAAUUAACAGUGUAACCAUCUGAAAGCAACUUUUAUUGGUGUCUCAAAUGAGUGACUGCAGCUUGGUUUGAAAUUUGUACUGCUUCUAUCAUAAAUAAAGUUAUGGCUUCUUGUUG